UUCAGUUUAGAAAAGAACAAAAGCAAAUGACUGAAUCAAACCAGUUUAAAUAACUACAUGGAAAUGGUGAAGUUGACCAAAUCUGUGGGAUCUUGCAGAGAUACAAACUGUACACUCAUUUUAAUCGACACUGUGAAAGUUUUAUAUUUACUUGGUUGUAUUUCAGAAGAACGUGAGGACUGAUUAAUAAGCUGGCCCGUCUUGAGGGUCUGGGAAUCUAAAUGGGUCAAUCUCAAUAAGUCUCCCGCUAAUGGUGAUGGAGCAGCAGGUCAGCAUUGACGUCUCUAUACCAGCUGAAAGUUGAUGACACAAAGUGGUGACAAACUGUCUACAAUGAGGCUACUAUCAGCUGCAGCUCUUUGUCUGACUAACAAUGGAACAUGCUUUGUAGACCAUUGAAUUCAUCCUGUGCUGACCAUUAUGACAUUUGUCAAAUGGAGAUCACACAACAAACAUGACUUACUUGAUGCUGACAAUGUGAAGGCUUCACUCCACUCUGUUGAAGAAUAUGAGUCAUCUCUGCGUCGACUCUUACACAUGUAGUCUCCACUGCUGGACUCAGAAACUCUGAAUGUCACAUCAUUAUUGUGUGUCCACUGUGUGGGUGU